rnacentral:rRNA from 1 species
UAUUUUGACUAUACAAAGGUAUUGAAAUAAGGUUUUAAUUGAAUGCUAAAAGAAUGGAAUAUCAAAGAAUAACUUUCUUAAAAUUAAAAAUUGAAAUUUUUUUAAUUUGUGUAAAAACAAUUAUAUAAAUUAAAGACAAGAAGACCCUAAGAAUUUUUAAAAUUUAAAUUAACACAUUUUUGUUUUAAUUAAAUUUUAACUGGGGCGGUUAAAAAAUAUUAAAAACUUUUUAAUUUUGAAAAUGACCCAUUAUUAAUGAAAAUAUGAUAAAAUACUCUAGGGAUAACAGCGUUAUAUUUUUUGAUAGAUCAUAUUGACAAAAAAGUUUGCGACCUCGAUGUUGGAUUAGGAUACUUUUUUAAUGAAGAUAUUAAAAUAAGAAGUUUGUUCAACUUUUAAAUUCCUACUUGAUC